CGGCAAGCGGCGGCGGCGGCGGCGGGAGGGGGCUCAGCAACGGGACCGGCCCCCCGAGGAGGACGCAGGACCGGGGGCCGGAGGGCAGGCUGCUCUCCUCCUCCUCGUACUCCUCCAGCUCGGCCAGCAGCGAGAGCCUGGGGGAGGGGGACGAGCGCCCCAACGGGAGGGGGGGCGGCAUCCAGGUGGGGGGCGGCGCCCGCGCCAAAGAGGGGCCCCAGCGCCGGGCCGGGCAGCCCAGGAGCCGGCCGGUCAGCCUGUUCGUGGACGUUUCCAAGGCCAACACCCUGCCCCGCGUGCGGGAGGCGCCCCUGCCGCCCGAGCCGAAGAGCCCCGGGGAGUACGUCAGUAUCGAGUACCGGGGGGGAGGGGUGCCUGGGAUACCUCACCCGUCGGGCCCCGCCAGGCCCCUGCAGCGGCCCGGCUCCUGCCUGGGCGGCUUGCACGGGCACGGCUCGCCCGAGCCCCACGCCUCCGAGUACGUCAACAUGGACCUGGGCCCCCUCCUGGCCCCGCUGGGCUUCCCCGGCUACCCCACCCCGGCCGCCGCCCCGCUGGCGUUCGAUGAGCACCGGCCAGACCUGGAGCCCAGCGAGGAGCCCGGCCGGGGCAAGCACGGGGCCUCAGUCCCCGAGGAGUCGCCCACCUUCGGGGAUUACACCGAGAUGGCCUUCAGCUUGGGGCCCCCGUCCCCCCGCUCGGCCUCUCCGGGGGGCGUGGCGAGCGUGGGGCUCGGGUUGGACUUCCCCCUGUCCAAGCCGACCCCCAACCCGGACCAGGGGGCGAAGGUGAUCCGGGCUGACCCCCAGGGCCGCAGGAGGCACUGCUCCGAGACCUUCCUGGCCACCCAGUCCCUGCCCCCUUCCUCCUCCUCCUCCUCUUCCUCCUCCUCCUCCUUCUCCCUCUUCCCCGAUCACGCCCAGGCGGCAGCCCGGAGGCUCGCGUUUGACGGCGUCUGGGGGAAAGGGGGCGCCUGCGACGGCGCCAAUGAGCCCGCCCCUCUGUGCGCCAUUCCCAGAUCGCCCGCUGUCCCCGUCGCCCAGGCGCCCCCCUCCUCAUCCUCUUCCUCCAUGGAGCAAGGCCUCAACUACAUCGACCUGGACCUCGCCAGCAAGGACAGCCCCCAUGCCACCCUGGAGGCCGCCCCCUCCGCCCAGGUGGCCUCCCGCCUCUACUCUUCGGGCCUCGUGGCGGACGGAGGCGGCUCAGCCGCCGUGCUCAACACCUACGCCAGCAUCGACUUCUACAAGUCGGAGGAGCUGCGGGCGCAUCAGAGCAGCAGCAAGGAAGGCACAGAAUGUUGACAGCCCAACUGAAUUCUGGGAAACUGGAGGACCGAAUUUGCUGCCUCUGCUUUAGAUCUGCCUCCUCUACCCUACAUCCAAAAGUGAUACAUGAGGGGUGGGGCUAAUGCCUUAAGAGGAACACCAUUGGAUGUCAUGCAGAGAUCUUGGACACGCCCCCCCAAAGGAGCAAUUUGUGGAUUUCUUUUGCUUUCUUUUUAUUGGUGGGUACUGAAUUAACGCAACCAAUGGGAAUGCAUUGGCUGCUGAAGACUUGGCAAAUCAGACUCUUUGACAGGAGAACACGGAGCCAAUCG
rnacentral:lncRNA from 1 species